rnacentral:rRNA from 1 species
UACGUAGGGUGCGAGCGUUAAUCGGAAUUACUGGGCGUAAAGUGUGCGCAGGCGGCCGCGCAAGUCGAGUGUGAAAGCCCCGGGCUUAACUUGGGAAUUGCGCUCGAAGCUACGUGGCUGGAGUGUGGCAGAGGAAGGUGGAAUUCCACGUGUAGCGGUGAAAUGCGUAGAGAUGUGGAGGAACACCAAUGGCGAAGGCAGCCUUCUGGGCCAACACUGACGCUCAUGCACGAAAGCGUGGGGAGCAAACAGG